rnacentral:rRNA from 1 species
UACGUAGGGUGCGAGCGUUAAUCGGAAUUACUGGGCGUAAAGCGUGCGCAGGCGGUUCGUUAAGUCAGAUGUGAAAGCCCCGGGCUCAACCUGGGAACUGCAUUUGAAACUGGCGGGCUUGAGUGUGGCAGAGGGGGUGGGAAUUCCGCGUGUAGCAGUGAAAUGCGUAGAUAUGCGGAGGAACACCGAUGGCGAAGGCAAUCCCCUGGACCUGUACUGACGCUCAUGCACGAAAGCGUGGGGAGCAAACGAGG